UACGUAGGUGGCGAGCGUUAUCCGGAAUUACUGGGUGUAAAGGGUGAGUAGGCGGGGAAGCAAGUCAGAUGUGAAAUGCAAAGGCUUAACCUUUGAAUUGCAUUUGAAACUGUUUUUCUUGAGGGUCGGAGAGGUAAUCGGAAUUCCUAGUGUAGCGGUGAAAUGCGUAGAUAUUAGGAGGAACACCAGUGGCGAAGGCGGAUUACUGGACGACUGCUGACGCUGAAUCACGAAAGCGUGGGGAG
rnacentral:rRNA from 1 species